UACGUAGGGGGCAAGCGUUGUCCGGAAUCAUUGGGCGUAAAGCGCGUGUAGGCGGCCCGGUAAGUCCGCUGUGAAAGUCGGGGGCUCAACCCUCGGAUGCCGGUGGAUACUGUCGGGCUAGAGUGCGGGAGAGGCGAGUGGAAUUCCUGGUGUAGCGGUGAAAUGCGCAGAUAUCAGGAGGAACACCAAUUGCGAAGGCACUUUACUGGGCUAUUACUAACACUCAGAGACGAAAGCUAGGGUAGCAAAUGGG
rnacentral:rRNA from 1 species